GAGAGGUCUCGGAGCCCCAGGGCCAGGGCCAGAGGAAGCCACCACCACCCCCAAAUCCCGGCCCACGGAGCUCCCCCUGAAGCCACAGAAUUACAAUAUGGGAGAAAAGUACCUUGACAUUCAUCUUCAAGGGAAUGGUGACACUACCCGACACCCCCGUUGUGACGUACGGUGCUGCAUACUCCCCAGUGACCAGCCCUUCUAAAUUCCAGACCGCUCAAAGGGUGAAAAGCCACAUGUCAGGAGUGACCAGGGAGCAGAUCCUGAACGUACAAGAAACAGCUGAAAGCUCAUGGACAGCUCAUACUGAUCUCUUUUGCCAUCUGAGCCCUAGCUUUCUUUGAAGACCACUCUCUAUUUAAUAAAUGGUGCUGGGAGAACUGGCUAGCCAUAGUCAGAAGAAUAAAAUUGGACCCCUACCUUUAACCAUAUACACAAGUAAGUUCAAGAAGGAUUAAUGACAUAAUGUAGGGCCUCGAAUUAUAAAAAUCCCAGAGAAUAACUCUUCUCGAUAUUUGCCCUGGCAAAUAAUUUUUGGCUAAAUCCCCAAAAGCAAUUGCAACAAGAACAAAAAAUG